ensembl:lncRNA PAQR9-AS1 PAQR9 antisense RNA 1
CAAGUCAUCUCAGUGGUUUGUGUUAAUCUAGAGUGGCCAUCUCAAUUACAGGUUAGCAUUUGUAAGAAAUGUCUAAAUAACAUUGGCUAAUCUGUUUGUUAGAAAGGAUCUCAGGGACAUGCUCAUGAAUGUUUCAAGGAUUUAGGGUGACUGCCCAUCAUUUCCAUAGUCUGGAACCAAAUCAAACUUCAGCGUUUAACUAGGCAAGUGUAAUCUUAUUUAACUCAAAAUUUUCAGUGACAACUCAAUAAUGUGCUCCUGCCUUUCAUAAUAAAACUGCCUUGUUUAUUCUUGGAUAUUAUGUUUUUAAUUUUAAGCAAGGAUGGAUGGCAUCAGUCUAGAACUUCUCCCAUGGCUGCAUUAGAAACACAUCUACAUUAGAGGGUUGGCUCUUUGUCCUUGUUGGGAACCCAAAUGCUCUGCACGCUCCUGUAAGCUAUCUCCAAUCCCACCAAAAACUUGAAACCAACACCAUCUUCUGCCCUCCUGGAUGGACCAUGAAACCUUGAUUUUCAGUCAGGACUUCUAUUUGGAACUGAGUCCGACAGCUCAGGACUGGCUGCUCAAACUCCACAAUUUAAUGAAAAAUCUCAGAUGAUGACUCAGAAAACCUCUAAUGAUCUGAGGAAUAUAUUAAGGGAUUCCAGAGUCAAAGGCUGAUCAUGGAGGGCAUUGAUGAGGGAAGACUUCAGGUGGCUGGAGACCAGAAGAAAGGAACACUGGAAGAAUGAAAACGGUUGUGAUGCACUGCAGUGUGAA